UACGAAGGGUGCAACCGUUGCUCGGAAUUAUUGGGCGUAAAGAGCGUGUAGGCGGCCAGGUAGGUCUGCUGUGAAAACUCGAGGCUUAACCUCGAGCUGUCGGCGGAAACCAUCUGGCUAGAGUCCGGAAGAGGAGAAUGGAAUUCCCGGUGUAGCGGUGAAAUGCGCAGAUAUCGGGAAGAACACCCGUGGCGAAGGCGGUUCUCUGGGACGGUACUGACGCUGAGACGCGAAAGCGUGGGGAGCGAACAGG
rnacentral:rRNA from 1 species